rnacentral:rRNA from 1 species
AGAAUCAACGCUGGCGGCGUGCCUAACACAUGCAAGUCGAACGCGAAAGCCCCGCAAGGGGUAAGUAGAGUGGCAAACGGGUGAGUAACACGUGGGUGAUCUGCCUCAGAGUGGGGGAUAACGACCCGAAAGGGUCGCUAAUACCGCAUAACAUCCUGCCUUUGGAUAGGCGGUGAUCAAAGUUGGGGAUCCGCAAGGACCUGACGCUUGGAGAGGAGCCCGCGGCCGAUUAGCUAGUUGGUGAGGUAACGGCUCACCAAGGCAACGAUCGGGUA